UUGAUCACAACAGAAGCUCUGUAGACUUUAUUUUCCUAUCACAGCAUGGGGAAACUGCAAUAAAAGGUAUAUAUUAUUAUUUUCAUUACCAACUACAGGAAAUGGCAUUACUUGUUUCAACAUCAACUUGCUUUUACAGAAAACUUUAAAGUAAUAAAGCAUCCAAAGGUACUUUGGGGGAAACCAAACCAAACUGGGCACUUUGCCACAUAUCAAGAUGACCAAAGACUUGGUCAAAGUAGUAGCUUUAAGGACAAUCCCCAAAGGAGAAAGUUGAGAUGCUGCCAGACCUGCUGAGCUCUUCCAGCAGCUACUAUUUUUGUGUCUGUAGACGUGGUUCAACUUCAAGUAAUACUCAAGAAUUCCACAAUGUCACUGGUAAAGGUUGAUGUCAGCUGGUCUAAUUCAUAAUACACAGAUGAUGACAAUUUGGAAUAUUCCUUCACUGCUAUACACUCUCUUAAAGAAACAGAUAUGGUCCUGAUGAAGGAGGAGCGCUCUGAAAGCUUGUACUUCCAAAUAAACCUG